rnacentral:SRP_RNA from 1 species
CCGUGCUAGACGGGGAGCUAGCGGUGCCCUGAACCUGCAAUCCGCUAUAGCAGGGUUGAAUGCCCGCCCCCGGCCAGCUGGUUUUUCGGCCUGACCGUCGUAAGCGGUGUUGAAGGUCGGGUCCUGCGCAACGAGACUCUGUGAACCCCGUCAGGCCCGGAAGGGAGCAGCGGUAAGCAGACCCUCUCGUGUGCCGCAGGAGCGCCUGGUUGGAGCUGGCUGCGAUUGGUAUCGCGGGAGCCUCUGGUCAAAGGCGGGUGCACGG